CAAUAAAUGAAACAUAGUAAUAUGCACAAAAAUUAAAUUGAGUCUCUAAGUCUGUCCUCUCUGAUGAUGUCAUUUGGCUUUGAUUUGAAAGCAUAGUUUCGCAGUAUAACA